rnacentral:lncRNA from 1 species
UCUCAUUAGUAAAUAGCAACAUAUCAAAAAAAAGAAAAAAAAGUAGCAACAUAUCAAUUCAUUGUAAGGCUGUAAUUAAUUUAUAAGAAAAUAUCAAACCGAUCGAUGCAAACAAUAUUGUUUUGUAAUCACUAGUUUAAGUGUUUUUUUUUUACAUUCUUUAACCACACCAAAUGUUUAUAUAAACCGUUCAUUCAGCAUCAUCAAAUUCGAGUCAACAUCAAGAAGAUCAAAAGAUAAGUAAAAAUAUAUACAGAGAGAGACUGGUUCUGAAUCCAGAAAA